rnacentral:RNase_P_RNA from 1 species
CGAGCCGGGCGGGCGGCCGCGUGGAGUCCCUCACGGGACUUCCCGAGGAACGUCCGGGCUCCACAGGGCAGGGUGAUGGCUAACGGCCACCCGGGGUGACCCGCGGGACAGUGCCACAGAAAACAGACCGCCGGAGGCUUCGGCAUCCGGUAAGGGUGAAACGGUGGUGUAAGAGACCACCAGUGCCCAGGGCGACCUGGGCAGCUAGGUAAACCCCACCCGGAGCAAGGUCAAGAGGAGACGCCCUUCUCGGAAGAGAAGGCGCCUCUGCGCGGACGAUCGAGGGCUGCCCGCCCGAGUCCGCGGGUAGACCGCUGGAGGCCGGUGGCAACGCCGGUCGUAGAUGGAUGGCCGUCGCCGGAGGGUCCGCGAGGACCUUCCGGAACAGAACCCGGCGUACAGCCCGACUCGUCUG